CAUUGCACCUCGCUGUCCGUCAUAAGCCUGCUUGAUACUUCCCUAUUCCGGCAGCUCCUUCUGGUGUCCUCACCCUGUCUCUGGUGACAGGAGCGACGUCUGCCGCAACACGAGAAACCCAGCAGCCAGCGCAUUUCUUUUUCUCCUCUCGAUUCCAUAGAAGAGCAGUUGGAAAAGGCAGGAGGUUUGCUUUAGAUUCAGAGAAGGUUGAGGGAGAAUCUAAAGAAGAGGCAGAAGAAAACAAGGCCAAAGUCCGAUAUCUUUGGGUUCAUGUCAAUAUCCAACAAGAUGUUACUAGCUUUGAGAUCUCUAUGGAUAAUUCUUAGUCGUGAAUCUUGGUGCAAAUACAAUAGCCCUCUGGCAAUUCCAUUGAUAAUGUCGAAGCGUUUCGUCCAAUCAAGUACCACCCUAAUGUCAAUCAAAUCACCGAACCAAAGCAAACAACCAUGUUCUCCAUUGCUUAUAUUUAAACUCGAAUAAGCUGUACAGUUGCAAUUCUUCAAGCAAACCUGCUCACACUCUUGAAGGUUCAUACUGCUGUUGAACCACGACAACUUUGUAUCUGGAAAUUUAAGACCAUUAUAUUUCAAGAAUC